rnacentral:ncRNA from 1 species
CUGGGAAGUACGGCCGCAAGGCUAAAACUCAAAAGAAUAGACGGGGACUUGCACAAGCGGUGGAUCAUGUGGUUUAAUUCGAAGCUAAACGAAGAACCUCACCAGGGUUUGCACCCAAACGACGUACCGAGGAAACUUGGUAUUCCUUCACAAGAGGCGGUUGGGCAGGUGAUGCAUGGCUGUCGUCAGUUCGUGGCUUGAGUUGUUCCCUUAAGUGGGGAAACGAACGCAACCCUCGUCGUCUGUUACAAGUGUCAGGCGAGACUACUUAUCUUUGAUAAGAGGAAGCGAGGAUGACGCCAAGUCAGCAUGUCCCUUUGACAUCCUGGGCUACACACAUGAUACAAUGGCCGUUACAACGGGUUGCGACACCGAGAGGUUGAGCUAAUCCUUUAAAGACGGCCCCAGUUCGGAUUGAGGUCUGCAACUCGACCUCAUGAAGUUGGAAUCGCUAGUAAUCGCGGGUCAGCUAUACCGCGGUGAAUACGUUCUCAAGUCUUGUACUCAAAAUUAAAUGCGCCGGGCAGUAGUAUUUGCGAGAGGGUUAAAAUCCCUCUUGCGCGCAAGCGUUAU